rnacentral:rRNA from 1 species
CGGACGGGUGAGUAAUGUAUGGGGAUCCGCCUGAUGGCGGGGGAUAACUACUGGAAACGGUAGCUAAUACCGCAUAAUGUCUGCGGACCAAAGCGGGGGACCUCCGGGCCUCGCGCCAUCAGAUGAACCCAUAUGGGAUUAGCUUGUAGGUAAGGUAACGGCUUACCUAGGCGACGAUCCCUAGCUGGUCUGAGAGGAUGAUCAGCCACACUGGGACUGAGACACGGCCCAG